rnacentral:rRNA from 1 species
AACUAUAACGGUCCUAAGGUAGCGAAAUUCCUUGUCAGGUAAGUUCUGACCCGCACGAAAGGCGUAACGAUUUGGGCGCUGUCUCAGCUGUAGACUCGGUGAAGUCUUAGUACCUGUGAAGAUGCAGGUUACCCGCGACUAGACGGAAAGACCCCAUGGAGCUUUACUGUAGCUUGAUAUUGGACUUUGAUGCAAGAUGUACAGGAUAGGUAGGAGACUGAGAGACAUGCACGCCAGUGUGUGAGGAGUCAAUGUUGGGAUACUACUCUUCUUGUAUUGGAGUUCUAACCGGAUGCCAUGGAACUGGCAACGGGACAGUGUCAGGUGGGCAGUUUGACUGGGGCGGUCGCCUCCCAAAGAGUAACGGAGGCGCCCAAAGAUACCCUCAGCUUGGAUGGAAAUCAAGCGCAGAGUGCAAAGGCAUAAGGGUGUUUGACUGCGAGACCUACAAGUCGAGCAGGGACGAAAGUCGGGCUUAGUGAUCCGGCGGUGCUGAAUGGAAAGGCCGUCGCUCAACGGAUAAAAGCUACCCUGGGGAUAACAGGCUGAUCUCCCCCAAGAGUUCACAUCGACGGGGAGGUUUGGCACCUCGAUGUCGGCUCAUCGCAUCCUGGAGCUGAAGUCGGUUCCAAGGGUUGGGCUGUUCGCCCAUUAAAGCGGUACGCGAGCUGGGUUCAGAACGUCGUGAGACAGUUCGGUCCCUAUCUGUCGUGGGCGUAGGAAGUUUGAGAAGAUCUGUCCUCAGUACGAGAGGACCGGGAUGGACAUAUCAAUGGUGCACCAGUUGUCACGCCAGUGGCACAGCUGGGUAGCUAAAUAUGGAAGGGAUAAACGCUGAAGGCAUCUAAGUGUGAAACCCACUUCAAGAUGAGACUUCCCAUUACGCAAGUAAGUAAGACCCCUUAAAGACGAUAAGGUUGAUAGGUCAGGAGUGUAAGCAUGGCGACAUGUUCAGCGGACUGAUACUAAUAGGUCGAGGACUUAACCUA